UACGUAGGGUGCAAGCGUUAAUCGGAAUUACUGGGCGUAAAGCGUGCGCAGGCGGUUGUGCAAGACCGAUGUGAAAUCCCCGGGCUUAACCUGGGAAUGGCAUUGGUGACUGCACGGCUAGAGUGUGUCAGAGGGGGGUAGAAUUCCACGUGUAGCAGUGAAAUGCGUAGAGAUGUGGAGGAAUACCGAUGGCGAAGGCAGCCCCCUGGGAUAUCACUGACGCUCAUGCACGAAAGCGUGGGGAGCAAACAGG
rnacentral:rRNA from 1 species